GGAAGAGACCGUAACACAGGUGCUGCAUGGCUGUCGUCAGCUCGUGUCGUGAGAUGUUGGGUUAAGUCCCGCAACGAGCGCAACCCUUGUCAUUAGUUGCUACAUUCAGUUGGGCACUCUAAUGAGACUGCCGGUGACAAACCGGAGGAAGGUGGGGAUGACGUCAAGUCCUCAUGGCCCUUAUAGGUGGGGCUACACACGUCAUACAAUGGAUGGUACAAAGGGUCGCCAACCCGCGAGGGGGAGCCAAUCCCAUAAAGCCAUUCGUAGUCCGGAUCGCAGUCUGCAACUCGACUGCGUGAAGUCGGAAUCGCUAGUAAUCGUGGAUCAGAAUGUCACGGUGAAUACGUUCCCGGGUCUU
rnacentral:rRNA from 1 species